rnacentral:rRNA from 1 species
UACGGAGGGUGCAAGCGUUAUCCGGAUUCACUGGGUUUAAAGGGUGCGUGGGUGGGAAUGUAAGUCAGUGGUGAAAUCUUCGUGCUUAACACGGAAACUGCCAUUGAUACUAUGUUUCUUGAAUUUUCUGGAGGUCAGCGGAAUAUGUCAUGUAGCGGUGAAAUGCUUAGAUAUGACAUAGAACACCAAUUGCGAAGGCGGCUGGCUACAGGGAUAUUGGCACUGAGGCACGAAAGCGUGGGGAUCAAACAGG